CCUACGGGAGGCAGCAGUGAGGAAUAUUGGUCAAUGGGCGAGAGGCUGAACCAGCCAAGUCGCGUGAGGGAAGAAUGUCCUAUGGAUUGUACACCUCUUUUGUCAGGGAGCAAAGUCACCCACGUGUGGGUGUUUGAGAGUACCUGAAGAAAAAGCAUCGGCUAACUCCGUGCCAGCAGCCGCGGUAAUACGGAGGAUGCGAGCGUUAUCCGGAUUUAUGGGGUUUAAGGGGUGCGUAGGCGGGUUAUCAAGUCAGCGGUAAAAUCGUGGAGCUAAACUCCAUCCAGCCGUUGAAACUGAUGAUCUUGAGUGGGCGAGAGGUAUGCGGAAUGCGUGGUGUAGCGGUGAAAUGCAUAGAUAUCACGCAGAACUCCGAUUGCGAAGGCAGCAUACCGGCGCUCAACUGACGCUGAGGCACGAAAGCGUGGGGAUCGAACAGGAUUAGAUACCCGGGUAGUC
rnacentral:rRNA from 1 species